AACUGGACUCACACCCGAGACCC
rnacentral:piRNA from 1 species